GUGUCAGCAGCCGCGGUAACACGUAGGGCGCAAGCGUUGUCCGGAAUCAUUGGGCGUAAAGAGCUCGUAGGCGGUUUGUCGCGUCUGCUGUGAAAACUCGGGGCUUAACCCCGAGCUUGCAGUGGAUACGGGCAGACUAGAGGUAGGUAGGGGAGAAUGGAAUUCCCGGUGUAGCGGUGAAAUGCGCAGAUAUCGGGAGGGACACCGGUGGCGAAGGCGGUUCUCUGGGCCAUUACUGACGCUGAGGAGCGAAAGCGUGGGGAGCGAACAGGAUUAGAUACCCGGGUAGUCC
rnacentral:rRNA from 1 species